rnacentral:tRNA from 1 species
AUCGAAAUAGCUCAGUUGGGAGAGCGUUCGACUAUAUAUUGAAAAGUCCCUGGUUCGAUUCCGGUUUUUUACA